rnacentral:rRNA from 1 species
AGAGUUUGAUCAUGGCUCAGAUUGAACGCUGGCGGCAUGCCUUACACAUGCAAGUCGAACGGCAGCACGGGGGCAACCCUGGUGGCGAGUGGCGAACGGGUGAGUAAUACAUCGGAACGUGUCCUGUCGUGGGGGAUAACCAGUCGAAAGACUGGCUAAUACCGCAUGAGAUCGAGAGAUGAAAGCAGGGGACCGCAAGGCCUUGCGCGAUUGGAGCGGCCGAUGUCGGAUUAGCUUGUUGGCGGGGUAAAAGCCCACCAAGGCGACGAUCCGUAGCUGGUUUGAGAGAACGACCAGCCACACUGGGACUGAGACACGGCCCAGACUCCUACGGGAGGCAGCAGUGGGGAAUUUUGGACAAUGGGGGCAACCCUGAUCCAGCCAUGCCGCGUGUGUGAAGAAGGCCUUCGGGUUGUAAAGCACUUUCGGACGGAACGAAAUCGCACGGGUGAAUAUCCCGUGUGGAUGACGGUACUGUAAGAAGAAGCACCGGCUAACUACGUGCCAGCAGCCGCGGUAAUGCGUAGGGUGCGAGCGUUAAUCGGAAUUACUGGGCGUAAAGCGUGCGCAGGCGGCUUCGCAAGUCAGGCGUGAAAUCCCCGGGCUUAACCUGGGAAUGGCGUCUGAAACUACGGAGCUGGAGUGUGGCAGAGGGAGGUAGAAUUCCACGUAGCGGUGAAAUGCGUAGAUAUGUGGAGGAAUACCGAUGGCGAAGGCAGCCUCCUGGGCCAACACUGACGCUCAUGCACGAAAGCGUGGGGAGCAAACAGGAUUAGAUACCCUAGUAGUCC